GACGAACGCUGGCGGCGUGCCUAAUACAUGCAAGUCGAACGCACUCUCGUUUAGAUUGAAGGAGCUUGCUCCUGAUUGAUAAACAUUUGAGUGAGUGGCGGACGGGUGAGUAACACGUGGGUAACCUGCCCUAAAGUGGGGGAUAACAUUUGGAAACAGAUGCUAAUACCGCAUAAAACCUAACACCGCAUGGUGUAGGGUUGAAAGAUGGUUUCGGCUAUCACUUUAGGAUGGACCCGCGGUGCAUUAGUUAGUUGGUGAGGUAAAGGCUCACCAAGACCGUGAUGCAUAGCCGACCUGAGAGGGUAAUCGGCCACACUGGGACUGAGACACGGCCCAGACUCCUACGGGAGGCAGCAGUAGGGAAUCUUCCACAAUGGACGAAAGUCUGAUGGAGCAACGCCGCGUGAGUGAAGAAGGUUUUCGAAUCGUAAAACUCUGUUGUUGGAGAAGAAUGUAUCUGAUAGUAACUGAUCAGGUAGUGACGGUAUCCAACCAGAAAGCC
rnacentral:rRNA from 1 species